AGUGCAGCAAAGAAAUGGAGUCAGUGCGGACUGGGAGGUUUCAUAAACAAGACCCGAAUUGGAAACUCCCGGUCCCUGUUUGCAUCAAACCGACAGCAGCUGCGGCCUCUUCCGAUCUCAGACCCGGGGUAAGGGCCGCCCUCUGACAGUAAUGCCUCUUGUUCACUUUCUGCAGGUGAUUACACCGUGAUUCUCAGACAGGAAACUCAAACCAAACAUCACAUCAAAACCUGACUGAAUCACUCCAUCCAUCAGGACCUGGACAUUAUCGGCCUCUGAGUGGUAAUAAAAGGGGAGCAUUUGCAAUUGGGAAGCUGAAACAAAACAACAGAUUAGGAUUUGAAAGAGUCUUUGGAUUCAUCGGGACCUGAAGAUCAUCAGCCUUUGAACAUGGAAGGAAAAAGCAUUGUUCACACUGGGAGGAAACUGUUGGAAAUGUGGGGACUGUGGGAAGGGAUUCAGUUACCCAUCCCAGCUGGAAAUUCAAUGGCGCAGUCACACUCAGGAGAGACCAUUCACCUGCUCUGAGUGUGGGAAGGGAUUCACUCGGUUGUCCCACCUAUUGACACAUUAGCGUGUUCACGCUGGGGAGAGGUCAUUCACCUGUUCCGAGUGUGGGAAAGGAUUUCCUGGUUUAUCCAGUCUGCUGAGACACCAGUGGGUUCACACUGAUGAGAAACCUUUUAAAUGCUCAGAAUGUGGGAAGUGCUUUAAAAGUUCUCAGGAACUGAUGUCCCAUCAUGUUCACACUAAUGAGAGAUCAUUCAGGUGCUCUCACUGUGGGAGCGGAUUCAAGGCCUCAUGUCACCUCAUUGUACACCUGCACCGUCACACUGGGGAGAGACCGUUCACCUGCUCCAAGUAUGGAAUGGCAUUCACCCGGUCUUUCAACCCUCUGACACACCAGCGAGUUCACACUGGAGAGAGGCCAUUCAUCUGCUCCGAGUGCGAAGGGAUUCAGUCAGUUAUCCACCCUGCAGAAACACCAGCGAAUUCACACUGGGGAGAAGCCAUUCACUGGUUCCGAGUGUGGGAUGCGAUUCAGUAGUUCAACCACCCUGCAGAUACACCAGCAACUUCACACUGAUGAGGGACCUUUUCAGUGCCCAGACUGCCAGAAGUGCUAAACAUUCUCAGGAAUUGAUGUCCCAUCAACGUGUUCACACUGACGAGAGACCGUUCAGGUGCUCUCACUGUGGGACCUCAAUGAACCACCCACACUGGGGAGAGGCCGUUCACCUGCUCCGAAUGUGGGAAGAGAUUCACUCAUUCAUCCAAUCUGCGGAGACACCAGCAAGUUCACACUGACGAGAGACCAUUUAAAUGCCCAGACUGCGGAAAGUGCUAGAAAAGUUCCAGGGAAUUGAUGUCUCAUCAAUGUGUUCACACUGACGAGAGACCAUUCAAGUGGUCUCAGUGUGAGACUGGGUUCAGGCAAUCAUCUCAACUCACUGUACACCAGCACAUUCAUACUGGGGAGAGACUGUUCACCUGCUUCGUGUGUGGGAAGGGAUUCACUCAGUCAUCCCACCUAUUGAGACACCAGAGAACUCACAAGAAACUAGAGAUUGGAUUUUGCUGUUGAUCAUAUCCAGGACUGAACCAUGUUCACUGGGGUCUGUUUCUGUUGAUGUUCAUUAAUGCCAUCCCAGUUUUAGGGUAUAACAUUCUGAAUAAAAGUCAAAUACAUCAGCUUUAUGUGAAA